GUAAACGAUGUCGAUUUGGAGGUUGUGCCCUUGAGGCGUGGCUUCCGGAGCUAACGCGUUAAAUCGACCGCCUGGGGAGUACGGCCGCAAGGUUAAAACUCAAAUGAAUUGACGGGGGCCCGCACAAGCGGUGGAGCAUGUGGUUUAAUUCGAUGCAACGCGAAGAACCUUACCUGGUCUUGACAUCCACAGAACUUUCCAGAGAUGGAUUGGUGCCUUCGGGAACUGUGAGACAGGUGCUGCAUGGCUGUCGUCAGCUCGUGUUGUGAAAUGUUGGGUUAAGUCCCGCAACGAGCGCAACCCUUAUCCUUUGUUGCCAGCGGUCCGGCCGGGAACUCAAAGGAGACUGCCAGUGAUAAACUGGAGGAAGGUGGGGAUGACGUCAAGUCAUCAUGGCCCUUACGACCAGGGCUACACACGUGCUACAAUGGCAUAUACAAAGAGAAGCGACCUCGCGAGAGCAAGCGGACCUCAUAAAGUAUGUCGUAGUCCGGAUUGGAGUCUGCAACUCGACUCCAUGAAGUCGGAAUCGCUAGUAAUCGUAGAUCAGAAUGCUACGGUGAAUACGUUCCCGGGCCUUGUACACACCGCCCGUCACACCAUGGGAGUGGGUUGCAAAAGAAGUAGGUAGCUUAACCUUCGGGAGGGCGCUUACCACUUUGUGAUUCAUGACUGGGGUGAAGUCGUAACAAGGUAACCGUAGGGGAACCUGCGGUUGGAUCACCUCCUUA
rnacentral:rRNA from 1 species